GCCCGGCUAGCUCAGUCGGUAGAGCAUCAGACUUUUAAUCUGAGGGUCAUGGGUUCGAGUCCCAUGUUGGGCG
rnacentral:tRNA from 1 species